AUUGAACGCUGGCGGCAGGCCUAACACAUGCAAGUCGAGCGAGCGGCGGACGGGUGAGUAAUGUCUGGGGAACUGCCUGAUGGAGGGGGAUAACUACGGGAAACGGUAGCUAAUACCGCAUACCAUCAGAUGUGCCCAGAGGGGAUUAGCUAGUAGGUUGGGUAACGGCCCAACUAGGCGACGAUCCCUAGCUGGUCUGAGAGGAUGACCAGCCACACUGGAAAUGAGAGACGGUUCAUACUCCUACGGGAGGCAGCAGUGGGGAAUAUUUCACUGUGGGCGCCAGCCUGGUGCAGCCAUGCCGCGUGUUUGAAGACGGCCCUCGGGUUGUAAAGCACUUUCAGCGGGGAGGCGUUACCAGCAGACGAAGCACCGGCUAACUCCGUGCCAGCAGCCGCGGUAAUUC
rnacentral:rRNA from 1 species